UCAAGGCCUCAGGUCGGGACCAACGUUUUGCCAACUGCCACCGCACCCCGGCGCCCAACUACUCUGGGGGAUAGGGUUUGGCUUUCCACCAGGGACUUGCCCCUUAAGACAGACUCUAAGAAGCUGUCGCCCAGAUUAAUUGGCCCGUUUGUAGUGGACAGUUAUCAAUCACCACCACCAAUAUCACCACGGUGGUCAGGCUCAAACUGCCUCGCUCCCUUCGGGUCCACUCUUCGUUCCAUGUCUCACGCAUCAAACCUGUUUCCACCAGCCCGUUGGCUCCUCCCCCUCCUCCACCUCCACAGAUGAUUGAUGGCUUCCCCGCUUAUACAGUCCGCCGGAUUUUGGACUUGCGCCGCCGUGGGUUCCAGUACCUUGUCAACUGGGGAGGCUAUGGCCCUGAGCUGGGUUCCCCGCCGGCAGAUCCUGGAUGCCUCCCUCGUCAGGGACUUUCAUAGGCUGCAUCCUGAGAGGCUUGUUUUUUGAAUCCUGGGCAUGUCUGGGUUCCUGAGUUGGCACUUGCUGCACCUGCUGGUAAUCACGCACCUGUUCCUGAUCAGCCAUCCCUACCUCUUAAGGACAGACCAGACUUCCAUUCCCUGCUGGAUUGUUAAUUUGCGUACCAUCACCUGCUCUGCCUGCCAGUCAGUUCCAAGUCCUCUCAAAGCAGAGAUCCAAACUUUCCAGCCAGCCACGCCAGCCAGCCCUCACGCUCCACUGCUUGGAAAGAGACUCCCUGCCACCUCACCCUGCCUAGUUUGCUCACGCUACCUCAAUCAAUAAACUGUUUAACUGCUG